GAGCCAUGACCAAUCCUUUACCGUCCUCGAGCCCCACGCCGCUUUUCCCCCUCCGCGCUGUCCGGCCUCCCCUGCUCCUCAAUCCUGCUCCGAGCUCCUCCUUCCCUGCACCCGUCCUCACGACCGCCGACCUCGCUGACCUCUCCUCGCGCCUAGCCAUCUCUCUCCAUUCUCCUUCCCUCCUCCUGCCGUUGUCUCUCUUUGCUGCUUAUCCCUCUUUGUGUCUCUGUUCCCGCAAGAGCCGCCAUGGACGGCCGCAGCAAGCAGCCGACGACACUCGCGACGCAACCGGAGUUGCUCCCCGUCGGGCCUCCGACCAGACCGAGCAGCAAGGUCGGCCCGUCGCGCCCCCUUCCUUCCUGGUUUUCCUUCCUUAUCCCCUACCUCACCUCUGCCUCCCUUCUCUCUGCCUUGUACAAGAGAACGCCAUGGACGCCGAGCUCGCCAAACCCCGCCGCCAGGGACCCCCUCCGGCGCUCCCUCGACCCGCGCCGCCCCGGAUCCGGUUCUCCCCUCCGCCGCCUCACGGCCUCUUGCACCGCCGCUUUCUCUCCUGGGCCUCUUCCCCGACGCUCGAGGUGCAGCAGGGUGGGCGCUGCCACGUUCUCGAUCCAGUCGGAUCUGGCGCAAGUCGCCGGCAUCCGGCGCCGCGCGCCGUGAUUCCAGAUCGGGCGUAGGUCGCCACCAGGAGAGCAGGAGCGGCGGCUGCAGCAGAGGAGGCCCACCCUGGUCAAGCCCGCAUCCUGGUGGCCGUGUGCAGAAGAGGAGAGGUCGAGGAUGGGCGCCAGUUCGUGGAGGAGACGCUCGACACAGGAACAGUCCACCGGUCCAUAUCUUCGUGUCUAUUGUCUAUUGAUCUGCCAAUAUUGUGUUAAUCAAGGAGGAAAGAAAGGAUGCAGUCUAAGCCCUCACACUUUCCGGAAGUGCUCUUUACCCUUGGCGCCUUAGAAUGAAAAUAUGUUGCUUAACUGAAAAUCUUUGCGCCGCCACCUCUCCUCCUCCUCGUCCUCCUCUCUUUCUCCCAUGCCACCACCGUUGCAAGGAGUAGGGGAGAUAGGCGCCGAGGACAAGAAGCAAUGGGUUGGUUGAGGCUCGUUCGAGGAGCGCCAGUAGGCGACCGAUGUGUCGCUCUCCCGUCGUUCUUUCUUCGUCAGGAAAGGCGCAGCCUGCUACUCAAGCCCCUCUGCUUCGCUCCUUGCAGAGCAGGAGAGGCACGGGCGCCACCACACUCAAGAGACAGACGAGGACAUGAAGCUUUCGUGGAGAUGACGAGGUGGCCGCCGCUGCACCCCCACGCCGUGGACGCGAAGAUUCCCAUCCUCUCUGCCCUCGAUAACCACUUCGGCGGCGCCGUGAACAACAGCAAUGGCCUCUUCACGGCAGGCGCAGACCGCAGGGUCGUCUUCCUCUCCGGCCUCUUCCACACAAUCAGAUUCAGGCCUUCUCCCUCUGCAUCUCUGUAAAAACAUGCUGGCAGCAGAACAAUUUAUCAUGCUUAGCUUGCAAGGUGGUGAUUGCAACCAUGUGAAUGACUCCUUAUGACUCUCAGCAGCAAGACGAUCUGCGGUGACCUAGAGGUUGAUAAAUUUAGUUAAGGAACAUAUAGACAUUUGAUUACUUCCUCUGUUAUCAAAGGGGACAGGGAUGCGUAGUGUAAGGGCGUUCAAAAUUUUCUUCUUCUAGGAAUGAUUGAGUUCACUCUCCUUCCUGAGCCGUUGGCUGUUGGCCAUGUGAAAGCAUGGCAGCUACCGGGGGACUGAGAAUCUGUAGCAUGCCACCACUAUGCUUACCACCAACAAAGCCAAGGUCUCAUCUUUGAAAGAUUAAGGUUACUUUGCAGGGAGAUGAGACCCAUACCGAGAUAUGACAGGUUGAUUAUAUAACUGGAUGCAUAUGCAUAAAUCAGAGGAUAAGCAGCGGAAGGACAAGUUGUAUUUGUCGAGAUGUUCUCUUCUUCUUUAUUUUACAUGUUAAAGCAUGGACCUUCUUGCUCAGGUUCUCUGGUCUUGUGUUCAACUCUGCUUAUAAAGCCUUGUGAAGGAGAAAUAUCAUCUAUCAUGUAUUUCUGUGUUGACAGCCAGUUGCUUAAUUGAUCGACUAUAGUAUAAAGAAAUGUAUUAGAAGAGCAAAAAGUCAGCCGCAAUGGAAAAAGUCAGGAUCCCAACAAAAGACCAAGUCAGGAUCCCAACAAAGGACCUUCUGGACGCUAUGAUGUAGCAGCUUGGCCUUCCAAACGCAGUGACCCAUCACAGAAGGCAAGGCCGGUUGGUCUUGACGCAACCAUUCACUAUCCAUCAAAGCACCAACUGGACAACCGACUUCCAAGGAAAUCAAUAUACAUCUACGUGUACAGUAAACUCAAAGAGGCUGAAGAUCGACCGGCAAAUGACGCUCUUAAGUAGUCUAAGUGAAGUGAAGGAACUUUACCGCAUAAUAGAUACAUACUUCACAGCAAGAUACCCACCAAAAGCCAACAAUCUGAAACAUAUUUUGUCACACAUAAGAUAUGUUGCUGAUCGUCUUAAUGAUAUAGGUUUACAAUCAGAAGCCGUUAUACAGAAAACAAACAGGUAUUAUUAGUGCCUCGACGAUGAUAUCGAAGGAAUUUCUACUCUGAGCAAUGUAGGCCAUGAAGAACAGUAGCUAUGAAGACUUCCCUCAAAGAAAUCGUUCUAAACAUCCAGCGAUACAUCUGACUAAUGUAGUUCUGCCUAUCUAUAUGCCUUGCUCAUAACAUUGUAAAUGAUCAUUGUAAGCUUCUUAGAAAACAUGUAUCAUCAGCAACCAUCUAUCUAUCAUCAAUAUGUACUUAUUUCCAUA